GACGGAGGAUGCAAGUGUUAUCCGGAAUCACUGGGCGUAAAGCGUCUGUAGGUGGUUCGAAAAGUCCACUGUUAAAAAUUGAGGCUUAACUUCAAAGAUGCCGUGGAAACUUUCAAACUAGAGUAUGGUAGGGGUAGAGGGAAUUUCCAGUGGAGCGGUGAAAUUCGUAGAUAUUCGCAAGAACACCGGUGGCGAAGGCGGCCAACUGGUCCGGAUCUGACGCUGAGGCGCGAAAGCGUGGGGAGCAAACAGG
rnacentral:rRNA from 1 species